ACGGAAGGCAGCAGUGGGGAAUAUUGGACAAUGGGGGAAACCCUGAUCCAGCGACGCCGCGUGAGUGAAGAAGUAUUUCGGUAUGUAAAGCUCUAUCAGCAAGGAAGAAAAUGACGGUACUUGACUAAGAAGCUCCGGCUAAAUACGUGCCAGCAGCCGCGGUAAUACGUAUGGAGCAAGCGUUAUCCGGAUUUACUGGGUGUAAAGGGAGCGUAGACGGCAAAGCAAGUCUGAAGUGAAAUCUAUGGGCUCAACCCAUAAACUGCUUUGGAAACUGUUUAGCUAGAGUGCAGGAGAGGUAAGUGGAAUUCCUAGUGUAGCGGUGAAAUGCGUAGAUAUUAGGAGGAACACCAGUGGCGAAGGCGGCUUGCUGGACUGUAACUGACGUUGAGGCUCGAAAGCGUGGGGAGCAAACAGGAUUAGAUACCCUGGUA
rnacentral:rRNA from 1 species